GGGCGCAAGYNCUGAUGCAGCGACGCCGCGUGCGGGAUGACGGCCUUCGGGUUGUAAACCUCUUUUAUCGGGGAGCAAGCGAGAGUGAGUUUACCCGUUGAAUAAGCACCGGCUAACUACGUGCCAGCAGCCGCGGUAAUACGUAGGUCCCGAGCGUUGUCCGGAUUUAUUGGGCGUAAAGCGAGCGCAGGCGGUUUGAUAAGUCUGAAGUUAAAGGCUGUGGCUCAACCAUAGUUCGCUUUGGAAACUGUCAAACUUGAGUGCAGAAGGGGAGAGUGGAAUUNCCNGNUGUAACGGUGGAAUGUGUAGAUAUCGGGAAGAACACC
rnacentral:rRNA from 1 species